UGGUGGGUAGUUUGACUGGGGCGGUCUCCUCCUAAAGAGUAACGGAGGAGCACGAAGGUUGGCUAAUCCUGGUCGGACAUCAGGAGGUUAGUGCAAUGGCAUAAGCCAGCUUGACUGCGAGCGUGACGGCGCGAGCAGGUGCGAAAGCAGGUCAUAGUGAUCCGGUGGUUCUGAAUGGAAGGGCCAUCGCUCAACGGAUAAAAGGUACUCCGGGGAUAACAGGCUGAUACCGCCCAAGAGUUCAUAUCGACGGCGGUGUUUGGCACCUCGAUGUCGGCUCAUCACAUCCUGGGGCUGAAGUAGGUCCCAAGGGUAUGGCUGUUCGCCAUUUAAAGUGGUACGCGAGCUGGGUUUAGAACGUCGUGAGACAGUUCGGUCCCUAUCUGCCGUGGGCGCUGGAGAACUGAGGGGGGCUGCUCCUAGUACGAGAGGACCGGAGUGGACGCAUCACUGGUGUUCGGGUUGUCAUGCCAAUGGCACUGCCCGGUAGCUAAAUGCGGAAGAGAUAAGUGCUGAAAGCAUCUAAGCACGAAACUUGCCCCGAGAUGAGUUCUCCCUGACUCCUUGAGAGUCCUGAAGGAACGUUGAAGACGACGACGUUGAUAGGCCGGGUGUGUAAGCGCAGCGAUGCGUUGAGCUAACCGGUACUAAU
rnacentral:rRNA from 1 species